rnacentral:rRNA from 1 species
AUGGCCGGACCUGUUCCGGAGGCAAUCGGGAGAUGCCACUCCUUGACGAUGCUGUAUCUGAACGGCAACCGGUUCAACGGCUCGGUUCCACGGUUCGUCGGGAACCUGAGCAGGCUACAGAGGUUCUCCAUGGCAGACAACGCCAUCGCCGGAACAAUCCCACCAGAAAUCGGGAAUGCCGGGAGCUGGUGGAGCUCCAGCUGCAGAAUAACAGCCUCUCCGGGACGAUCCCGCCGGAGUUCUGCGAGCUCGGCCGUCUGCGGAAGCUGGCCCCUGUUCAAGAACACGCUCCAUGGGACAGUACCUCCGGCAUUGUGGGAAAUGCCGGACAUGGAGGAGCUGCAGCUCUACAACAACAGCCUGAGCGGAGAAGUUCCUGCCGGGAUCACCCAGGCGAGGAAGCUCAGAGAGCUCAUCCAGGCGUACAACAACUUCACCGGCGAGGUCCCAGGAGCGCUGGGACUGAACACUACCCAUGGGCUCGUUCGUGUCGACCUGACCGGCAACCGCUUCCACGGCGCGAUCCCGCCGGGUGUCUGUACCGGUGGCCGGCUCGCCGUGCUUGUCGUUGGACACAACCAGUUCAGUGGGGGCAUUCCCGGCGAGAUAGCUGAAUGUCAGUCCCUCUGGAGGGUCAGGCUCAACGACAACCAGUUCAGUGGUAGCUUGUUAUUGCCUGAAGAUAUGGGCACGAACACAGGGUGGUCAUUUGUGGACCUGAGUGGCAACCAGUUUGAUGGGAGGAUACCGAGUGUGCUCGGCUCAUGGUUUUGGGUACCGGGCGGUAAAUUCGGUUACCGCCCGGUUACCGCGUUUCCCGCUCCCCCACGAGAAUCAUGUAUACCGAGCAAAAAAAUUCGAACUUUUUGA